UUAGGAGGAGUGAAUGCUGGUAGGUUCUCUGGUUCUUUAGUUUUUGGUGUCAAGAAUGGAAGAAGGGUGUUGAAGUCUUAAACAGUUUAAUUUUAUCAAAUACAAUCUGCAAAUGAUGAAGGUCUAUUCUUGUGU